rnacentral:rRNA from 1 species
GACGAGGGGUCCAAGCGUUGUUCGGAAUCAUUGGGCGUAAAGCGGGUGUAGGUGGCUUUGUAAGUCAGGAGUGAAAUCCCCGAGCUUAACUUGGGAAGUGCUUUUGAAACUGCAGGGCUUGAGUGUGGGAGAGGAUCGUGGAAGUUCCAGGUGUAGUGGUGAAAUACGUAGAUAUCUGGAGGAACACCGGUGGCGAAAGGCGGCGAUCUGGCCCAACACUGACCACUGA